UUGACAUUGUCGAUUCUUUAACCUAAUUUAGUGAGUAAGGGUAAGGGAGGAUUACUCCUCCCCCUGAUGACUGUUAGUAAGCUGCGAAACUUAUCAUUAACAGCACAAUCAGUAUGAUGACGAACUUCAUCAUAACCCUUCUCCUAUUA
rnacentral:sRNA from 1 species